GAAGGUUUGAGGUUAAGGGUCGAAGGAGUUACGGACGGGUUGGGAUAGUGGAUGUUUCUCUGCCAAUGUAUUUUAAAAUAUUUCUUGCAGUAGAUCAGAUCUGUCUAGUGAAAUAUCAAGCAUUUUGCAAAAAAAAAAAAUGACCAAGAUGACCACAUUCUCCCGUUAAUGUUAGUCAACGCUUGAGAUUAUUGUAGUGCGUGCCGUGCGCUUUGGCAUGCCCGAGGUACGUUACAGAUCUCAACAACAACUGUACUGCAUGUAGCCUGAGAACAAUAACUAUCCUGAGAGUAGCCUGCCAAUAAGAACUAUACUGCGUGUAACCUGUCAAGAAGAACUAUCCUUAGUGUAGCAUGUCAACAAAAACUAUCCUGAUGUCAUCAAGAACUGUCAUAAGAGUAAUUUUUCACUAAAGACUAUCCAGAGUGUAGCUACUCACUGAGACUUUUGGACAGUUUCAAGUCGUUUUGCCUCCUAAAGCAACAAGAUCUGCAUUCAAUCUCUUGAUUGUCAGUCAACAAGGAUCUAGCCUGUAACAGCUCCAACCUCCUGCUAAGUUCCUCGUGUGAAAUGUACAGAGGUCUCGGAUUUUUAGUGAUCAGAGACAAAGG